GGAGAGAUGCUGGAGCGGUCGAUCAGGCACGCUUGGAAAGCGUGUGUAGGGGAAACUCUACCGUGGGUUCGAAUCCCACUCUCUCCGCCA
rnacentral:tRNA from 1 species